rnacentral:pre_miRNA from 1 species
UAUAGUUAAGUCUUGAUUGUUGUUGGUGUCACUGGGAGGGAUUUUCCUCCAGGCCAAUUGGCAGUGAGGACCCGCUGUAUCC